rnacentral:rRNA from 1 species
UCGACCCCAUGAAGUCGGAGUUGCUAGUAAUCGCAGAUCAGCAUUGCUGCGGUGAAUACGUUCCCGGGCCUUGUACACACCGCCCGUCACGUCACGAAAGUCGGUAACACCCGAAGCCGGUGGCCCAACCCCUUGYGGGAGGGAGCUGUCGAAGGUGGGACUGGCGAUUGGGACGAAGUCGUAACAAGGUAGCCGUACCGGAAGGUGCGGCUGGAUCACCUCCUUUCUAAGGAG